rnacentral:rRNA from 1 species
UACGAAGGGAGCUAGCGUUUUUCGGAAUCACUGGGCGUAAAGCGCACGUAGGCGGAUUGCUAAGUCAGGGGUGAAAUCCCGGGGCUCAACCUCGGAACUGCCUUUGAUACUGGUGGUCUAGAGUCCGGAAGAGGUGGGUGGAAUUCCUAGUGUAGAGGUGAAAUUCAUAGAUAUUAGGAAGAACACCGGUGGCGAAGGCGGCCCACUGGUCCGGUACUGACGCUGAGGUGCGAAAGCGUGGGGAGCAAACAGG